GUGAAACUGCGAAUGGCUCAUUAAAUCAGUUAUCGUUUAUUUGAUAGUACCUUACUACUUGGAUAACCGUGGUAAUUCUAGAGCUAAUACAUGCUGAAAACCCCGACUUCGGGAGGGGUGUAUUUAUUAGAUAAAAAACCAACGCCCUUCGGGGCUUCUUGGUGAUUCAUGAUAACUUCACGGAUCGCAUGGCCUUGCGCCGGCGACGGUUCAUUCAAAUUUCUGCCCUAUCAACUUUCGAUGGUAAGGUAUUGGCUUACCAUGGUUUCAACGGGUAACGGGGAAUUAGGGUUCGAUUCCGGAGAGGGAGCCUGAGAAA
rnacentral:rRNA from 14 species